UACGGCAACAUCACGUUGAAAUACUGUUUCCUGUACGAUCACUGAAGUCCAGCAACCUCGAGCUUGGUCAGUACCUAGAUGGGUGACCGCUUGGGAGUAGCAGGUGUUGAAA